GGUGAGUAACACGUGGGUAACCUGCCCUUAAGUGGGGGAUAACAUUUGGAAACAGAUGCUAAUACCGCAUAGAUCCAAGAACCGCAUGGUUCUUGGCUGAAAGAUGGCGUAAGCUAUCGCUUUUGGAUGGACCCGCGGCGUAUUAGCUAGUUGGUGAGGUAAUGGCUCACCAAGGCGAUGAUACGUAGCCGAACUGAGAGGUUGAUCGGCCACAUUGGGACUGAGACACGGCCCAAACUCCUACGGGAGGCAGCAGUAGGGAAUCUUCCACAAUGGACGCAAGUCUGAUGGAGCAACGCCGCGUGAGUGAAGAAGGCUUUCGGGUCGUAAAACUCUGUUGUUGGAGAAGAAUGGUCGGCAGAGUAACUGUUGUCGGCGUGACGGUAUCCAACCAGAAAGCCACGGCUAACUACGUGCCAGCAGCCGCGGUAAUACGUAGGUGGCAAGCGUUAUCCGGAUUUAUUGGGCGUAAAGCGAGCGCAGGCGGUUUUUUAAGUCUGAUGUGAAAGCCCUCGGCUUAACCGAGGAAGCGCAUCGGAAACUGGGAAACUUGAGUGCAGAAGAGGACAGUGGAACUCCAUGUGUAGCGGUGAAAUGCGUAGAUAUAUGGAAGAACACCAGUGGCGAAGGCGGCUGUCUGGUCUGUAACUGACGCUGAGGCUCGAAAGCAUGGGUAGCGAACAGGAUUAGAUACCCUGGUAGUCCAUGCCGUAAACGAUGAAUGCUAGGUGUUGGAGGGUUUCCGCCCUUCAGUGCCGCAGCUAACGCAUUAAGCAUUCCGCCUGGGGAGUACGACCGCAAGGUUGAAACUCAAAGGAAUUGACGGGGGCCCGCACAAGCGGUGGAGCAUGUGGUUUAAUUCGAAGCAACGCGAAGAACCUUACCAGGUCUUGACAUCUUUUGAUCACCUGAGAGAUCAGGUUUCCCCUUCGGGGGCAAAAUGACAGGUGGUGCAUGGUUGUCGUCAGCUCGUGUCGUGAGAUGUUGGGUUAAGUCCCGCAACGAGCGCAACCCUUAUGACUAGUUGCCAGCAUUUAGUUGGGCACUCUAGUAAGACUGCCGGUGACAAACCGGAGGAAGGUGGGGAUGACGUCAAAUCAUCAUG
rnacentral:rRNA from 1 species